GGAGAGUUUGAUCCUGGCUCAGGACGAACGCUGGCGGCGUGCUUAACACAUGCAGUCGAACGGUAAGGCCCCUUCGGGGGUACACGAGUGGCGAACGGGUGAGUAACACGUGGGUGAUCUGCCCUGCACUCUGGGAUAAGCCUGGGAAACUGGGUCUAAUACCGGAUAUGAGCUCCUGUCGCAUGGCGGGGUUGGAAAGGUUUACUGGUGCAGGAUGGGCCCGCGGCCUAUCAGCUUGUUGGUGGGGUAAUGGCCUACCAAGGCGACGACGGUAGCCGGCCUGAGAGGGCGACCGGCCACACUGGGACUGAGACACGGCCCAGACUCCUACGGGAGGCAGCAGUGGGGAAUAUUGCACAAUGGGCGAAAGCCUGAUGCAGCGACGCCGCGUGAGGGAUGACGGCCUUCGGGUUGUAAACCUCUUUCAGCAGGGACGAAGCGAGAGUGACGGUACCUGCAGAAGAAGCACCGGCCAACUACGUGCCAGCAGCCGCGGUAAUACGUAGGGUGCGAGCGUUGUCCGGAAUUACUGGGCGUAAGAGCUCGUAGGCGGUUUGUCGCGUCGUCCGUGAAAACUUGGGGCUCAACCCCAAGCUUGCGGGCGAUACGGGCAGACUUGAGUACUGCAGGGGAGACUGGAAUUCCUGGUGUAGCGGUGAAAUGCGCAGAUAUCAGGAGGAACACCGGUGGCGAAGGCGGGUCUCUGGGCAGUAACUGACGCUGAGGAGCGAAAGCGUGGGUAGCGAACAGGAUUAGAUACCCUGGUAGUCCACGCCGUAAACGGUGGGCGCUAGGUGUGGGUUUCCUUCCACGGGAUCCGUGCCGUAGCUAACGCAUUAAGCGCCCCGCCUGGGGAGUACGGCCGCAGGCUAAAACUCAAGGAAUUGACGGGGCCCGCACAAGCGGCGGAGCAUGUGGAUUAAUUCGAUGCAACGCGAAGAACCUUACCUGGGUUUGACAUAUACCGGAAAGCCGUAGAGAUACGGCCCCCUUGUGGUCGGUAUACAGGUGGUGCAUGGCUGUCGUCAGCUCGUGUCGUGAGAUGUUGGGUUAAGUCCCGCAACGAGCGCAACCCUUGUCCUGUGUUGCCAGCGCGUAAUGGCGGGGACUCGCAGGAGACUGCCGGGGUCAACUCGGAGGAAGGUGGGGACGACGUCAAGUCAUCAUGCC
rnacentral:rRNA from 1 species